rnacentral:lncRNA from 1 species
AUGAAAGUUCUUUUGAAAACCCCCCUUUUCCAACUCCCAAGUAUACAGUCAGCCACCCAUCACAACCCUGGGGCAGCAGCUCUUCCUGCCCCCCCUACCUCGGGUCCUAUCCCAGCUUUAAUAAAACCAACAUUUUGCACCAAAGAUGGCUCAAGAAUUCUUCUUGGCUGCUGGCUCUGGACUUCACCAGCAUUCAAAAACUGUGGACAGGGAAUGGAUGAGGCCAGUCAGGAGAGUGAGGAGCACGGAGAGGAUUGCUCAAUUUGCAGUGAGAAAGCCCAAGUUUUUCUUGGCCUUGAGUCAGCCCUACAUGUCUUUUUUUUUUUUUUUUUAUUUUCUGCUUUAUAUGAGAGGUUUUCUGGAUAGGUUUGAGCUUUCCAGUCGUGUACUACUAUGUUUGUAAUUCUUCCCACAUGCUGUAUUUUGAAGAGAUGACUUGCAUUUUCCAUAGAAGUCUGGCCCUCUAAAUUUCAUGCCACAGAUUCAGAUUUUUUAAAAAAAUUAUUCUUUUAGGAAAAGAGAUUCAAAGAUAUGUAGUAGCUACCAUAUGGCCUAGCACUUUGACUUGUAGGUAUAUACCCAAAGUAAUGAAAACACGAAUCCAUACAAAAACUUGUACAUGAAUAUUCAUAGCAGCAUUCUUCAUAAUAACCAAAAAUGUCCUAACCUAAAUGUCCAUCAGCUGAUGAAAGAAUAAACAAACUCUUGUGCCUACCAUCUUAAAAAAUUGAAAAUGCAGAAUAAAACUUUAUAAAACAUAUGAAAGUGAUCAGUGGUCUGCAAGACAUGUCAAAAACUUGUUUUCUUGCAGCAAAGCAGUGCUUUUCUUGCAGCAGAGCAGUGCUGGGGUAGAUGUACUUCUUACAUGGUGGCAGGCUUCCAAGAGGCAGGACAUGCAAGCCACCAGUCUUCUGAAAGGCUAGGAAUUGAGACAAUGUUGCUUCCCUGUAUUUUAAUGGUGAAUGCAGUCACAGGCCAGCCCAGAUUCAAGGGUGUGCAGAAAUAGACUCUACCCUUGAUAGGGCAACAGCAUGUGAGUACAGGAAGGGAAGAAUUGGAGAUAAGCUAUCAUAAAGAUAGAAUUGGUUGGGAACUAGAAAACAGAUUUAAAAUGUCAGAAGCCACUAACAACUAAAGAGCCACCUACAUUUUAGGUAAUUAAAAUUCAGAUAAUAUACACCCUAGUUGUUCACACACUUGUCCGAUGCUGAGUAUAUUUCCCUGUCUCUUGACUUUGGGCUUAGAUGUAUGUAUUAUUUAUUGUUGCAUUUCAUAGGCCUCAUCUCACUCAAUCUCUAACUACAUUUGAAACAGCUGCUACACCUUCCUGCUUGAAAUUCUCUGUAUUGCCCUUCUCUCAUUUUCUAUGGGUUUUCCUCCUACCUCAUUGCUAUUCUUUCUUUGUCUCGUUGCCCAAUCAUCUUCCUUUUCCCAACUCCUACAUUCUGCAAAAUCCCAGUGCCUUGACCUCCGGCCUCCUCUCUUCUUCAUCCUUACUUACUUCUUAGGUGAUCUCAUCCUCACGGCUUUAAGUCCCAUGCACACGAUGGUGACUCCAAAAAUGAUGUCUCUCAACUUGAUGUCUCCCUAGAACAACAGAUGAAUGUAUGUAAGUGCCUGCGCAAAAUCUUCAUUGUAUGUUGACUAGACAUCACAAACUUAACUCCCUCAAAGUGAAACUCUUGAUUCUUCUUCAAUUCCACCUGGAGAAUUUUCUACCUAGUCCCUUUGUUGCUACUUCUGACCUCCCUGCAGUUUAUUCUCUGCGCAGCAACAUGAAUGACCCCUCUCAAUCAUAAAUCUGUUCCUGACACUCGUCUGCUCUCUUUCCCUGGGUCUUCCCAACCAUGAGAUUAACAUCCAAAUUUCUUAUCUCAGUGUAGAAUGCCUUACAGAUGCCAGUCUUUCUCCAGCCACAUUUCUGCUUAGUUUCACUCAUUAACUAUGCUUCUGUCAUGUUGGCUUCCUUGCCACCCAGCUGUAGGCCCUUUAUGCUUGUCUUGUUCUUUCCUCUGUCUGGAGUACUCUUUCUUCAAAGAUAUGCAUGGUCCAUU